AGAUGCCGAUUGGUGUUCUCCUUGUUAGUUACAAGGGACGCAACAGGUUGGUCCUUUAGUAAUAAUACGUUUUAAGUGAAUUUUGUGAAUAGAAUUAUUAUAUUUUAAAUCAAAGAUGGAUUAUAAACUAACUACUCUUUUAAUUUUUUGUCUUAUUCUUCCUCAUCUGAGUUAUCAACAGUCAAAAUCCCACAAAAAUAACAAUCACAGUAAAUUUAGCGGAGCGCCGUUCUAUAAGGAACCUAGUAAUUGGAAAACUAUAGUUAUUAUAGUUUGCAGUGUUCUGUUCUUUGGUGCUGUGGUUUAUGGUACUACAUGCUUGCAGAUUUGUAAAAUGCAUUUCUUCGAAAGAACCGAAAAAAAGUACACAAAAAUGGAUUCUUGCACUGACGUAUGACAAUGUAAUAAAUUGAGAAUCUAUGAUAUGUUUUGUUGUGAUAAAUACUUUGGUUUUAAUAUUGUUUGAAAUUUUAUUCAAAAAAAAUUAUGUAGUUAUGUUAAAAGAUAGAUUUUGUUCUUAAUCUUUCAAUUUAUACAAUAAUUUCUAUAUUUACUCUUCGAUAUAAGAAGGAAACGUUUUUUACACAAACAAAUACGCUUCAGGGGUUGAAAGCUGAUUGUAUUAUCGAUCUAUAGUAAUUAACGGAAUUAUACAGAAAAAUUAGAGAGAAGCAUUUAACAUUACAUAAUUAUGAGUUAGAGAUAAGAUGCCUCCAUAUUUUCGUUAUCUGGAGAAUUUAGUCCAUCAAAAUUUUCAAUUUCAAAUCAUUCUAAAUAUGAGUUUACAAAAAUGAUAAUAUUGUAACUAUUAAACGACUUAUUUGGGUCCAGAAUCUAUGCUAGGUCUAGCCUAAAGUGUAGCUAUUACAUCUCUCAGUAGUCUGCUCGUAAGACAAAUUCUGCGGAGAUAUAUGGAAACACCUGGAAUGAGAUAAGCUAAGGUACACAUAGAUAGAUCUUUUACCUCUUUUACCAAUCAACUGCUUCACUUAUACAAGCGCCUUUUAAUUGAACACAGUCAUCUAAGACGCCAUCUCCAUGCUAUAGGCAUCACCAACGAUAUGGAAUACUGUUGUAGUAUGGAUGGGGAAGAAACUAGAGUCUAUUUCAUCGGUGAAUGCCUAGUAUUCAUAUCCAAGAGGUUGGAACACUUGGGCAAACCUCACAGUUUGACCAUCGAAAAAGAUAAUUAAACGAUCAAUGAUUCGUUAAAGAAUAUUAUUUGAUGUCCACACAAGAUAUUAAUUCUGAGAGAAUUGGUUUUUAAAAUUUUUAUACAAAUGGGAGGAAUUAUCUGUAAACCAGCUUUGAGACAAUAUAACCCCAUAAGUAGUAAAUGUAGCGCCAUGAAUAAGCAUAAUUUUUUUUAAAUUUUUUUCGAUUAGGUUGACAAUUAUGAUGAAAUUCAUUAUACCUGCUUUCCCAAAGGCAAACAUGAUCUACAAAUAAUCGGAUUAUUUUAUUUUCUUAAUUAACCGGCAACGGUGUGACAUAAAAGAUUGUUACUAAAAAUCGGAAAAUAUUUACAUGCUUGUUAUGUUCAAUCUAACCUGCAAGACCGUAUAGUCCGGUCAAUUUACACAUUUAUUCAAGGUCAAAGGUCAAAAAAAUGAGUUUUUCGCGAUUUUCAGCAAAACGGUUUAUACCUUAGACAAAAAUUGUAGAUCAUAAAAUUAUCAAUUGAAAACAUAUCAAUACUUUUUUCCUUCGAGCCACCCACUGUUUCUGAGAUAUAAUGAUUCAAAACGUUGUAUAAGUUGUAAUCGUCAUAAUAUGCACACGUUUCCACGCCACCUAUGAGGUAGUAGUUUCCUGAGUAAGCUUUUCCACGUCUGUUGUGAUGUUUAACUUGAAACUACUGCAAAAUAAUGGAAAUUAUCAGAAAUUGAAAAGAUAAAAGCAAUUUAAAUUGAAAAAAGUUGUGAAAUUUAAUCGUCGUAGCUUUCAAAUUCUUCUUCUCUCCAUCUUCAUUCUGAGUGCAUGUAAAUUGCGUCAAUAGCGAUGUAUUUCAUGUCGGAAUCAAACCGAUCCUCCACAUUUAGCACUGCAUCCUUUUUUGCACUUGCAAAAAAUUGUGUUCAGUGGCACAGGUGGGAGUAAAGUUUCAAUGGGUUCUAAUGUAUUGUUGACCAACUUCCAACCCCAUUCUGUAGGGUCUAGCUGAUAACCAACCAUACUUGAACUACCCGAAACAGAUGUUGAUGAGCAGCAACUGAGGUUGGAGGAAGACAAGCCAAUUGAACUUUUAGUAUUUUUACGAAACACGUAUAUCGAUACUUUAUAUGCAGGUGGUUUUUAAGGAGCUCCGUAUAUAGAAAGAAGAAAGCGACUGCCUUCUUAUCGAGUUGAAUUAUUAUUUUUAAAAACUUUAGCACAUUGAACUAAAUCUUGUUUUUCAAACAUUUUGAAACCUGUUAUUUUACCUUUCCUGUAAAAUGCUGAUGUCGUGUCACAGUCAAUUAUUGCGUGUAAAAAUAGUACAUGAUUUCAAUACAUUGCAAAAGUAGAUAAACUUUGAUGAAUAAAUUUCCGAUUGAUGUUGAGCUUUUCCUGGUCUUAAGAAGAAAAUAGUUUUUUCAGUUGGAGCUAGAGCAGUGAGUAAUACGAGUAAGUCUACAUUUUCACUAACAAGAAUAGUUGUAUUUGUAUUUUAAGUGUAAGUUACAAUGACCGAUAAAAAAAUAUUUCAACAUAUAUUACAACUCUAGAGAUGUAUAUACGUGGCGUACUCGUGGAUAUUAUGACGAUUACAACAUUUAGAACUAUAUUAAUAUGUUCUUUGUAAAUAAUUUUAUGAUCUACAAUUUUUGUCUGAUUUAUUUUUAUGAUAAAACUUACCGUUUUACUGAAAAUCGCAAAAAAACCAUUUUCUUGACUUUUGACCUUGAAUAAAUUCUUUUCCAUACGUUUGUAUGAUGGGGAAUUUUCAAAUUUCAUUUUUAAUUAUAUUUUAAACAAUUGCACUGAUUUACAGCUGGGAAUUUAUGUAGCUUUAUUAGUUUAAUUUGACGGGACUAGUAUAUCAAAGUUGACAAAAAAGCGAAUAUUUAGAGCUCCGGUUGAUUGAGGCCCAAAUUUUACAACUGAUAUUCAAACCUCAAACGUCACUUCAAACCAUAGAUACCGUUUUUUUCACGUUUUAUAGAUAGUGUUUACCGACAAACUUUAACGUUUAAACGUUAACAUGAAACGUAGGAUCCGAACAUAACUUUUUUAAAUUGUUCACAUUUUUACGAUAUUAUGAAGGUUUUCCGUAAAAUGAUUGAAAACUUGCACUUUAUAUUUGAUGAACUCGACGGUGACGAUGAAGAAAUAAAUAAAUAUUGUCGGCGUGCCGGGAAAACAAAAAGUUAUUCGUUCUAUUUGUCCAAUUGUUCCAUUUAUUUUCUAAAUUUGCUUUGAUUUUAUCGAGAACAUAAGAGAUUUUGUUAUUUUCAUCGUUAAAUCCCUUUGCAAACUCCUCCCAACCUUUUCCCUUCUCUUUCCAAGUUACCGCAUCACUUUUUUUGGAUCCGACUGUUCCUUUUGUAUUUCUUCACAAGGUUAGUCUAAAGCACUACUUCAUUUCUAGAGAAAAUGCAAAAAAUUUCAUUUUGGUUCAAAUUAGAGUUUAAACCAUAGUUUGAACUCCAGUUGUAAAAUUGGUCCUGAACCAGUGUUCCCUCAAGGUAGUGUUUUGGGACCAAUACUGUAUCUAUUAUAUACUUGUGACAUCCUUGUUACGGAAAAUGUUGCAUUGGCUAUAUUUGCAGACGACACUGCAAUACUAGCUGUUAGAAAAUCAAUUGGAGAGGUGGUCAAGAAUAUUCCAAAUUCAUUGAAAAAAAAAGUUAUCUAACAAAUGGAGUAUUAACAUCAGUUUAGGAUAAUCUGCUCAUAUCGUCUUUAACUAUAAAUAUAAACAAUCUCCCAGUUACAUUUAACAAUAAGAUUAUCUCAUAUGGAGAACUGUCAAAUAUUUAGGCUACAUCUGGAUGGUAAACUCAAGUGGCAGGAACAUUUAAGAAAUGAAGCAGAUUAAUUGCAACUCAAAUAUAAAAUACUAAAUUGGUUGCUAAGAAGAAGCUCACAACUUACUAUUGAAAAUAAGGGGCUAGUAUACAACUUUGGGGCCGUACUAGUGAAAGUAACUUGCUUGCAUUUAAAGAGUCUAAAACUGAAUAUCAAAGAAUAUAGUUGAUUCCCCUUGGUAAGUCAGCAAUCAAUAUCCAUACCGGGAACUCUGUAUAAAAACAGCCAAGAAGAACGACAUCAUAAUCACAUAAACAACUUUAUGAUAAUCAAGACAUAGUUCGCAGACGUUCUGUAAAAUAACGAAAAUAUGGAAAUGUCUUUAUAUCCAAUGGGACACAUUGUAUAUUUGAAUUUAUAUAAUAUUACUUGAAACAAAUUUAAUUUAUAUGUAAGAUAUCCGACAUGUUUUAGUGUUUACAGAACUACCAACAUUUAUUAGUGGUGUUACGUGCUUUUCAUUCUGAAUUAUAUAAAUCUAUUACGUUUUCAAUAUUUAUGAUUCUAAUAAGGCUAUUGUUACAAUGUAGUUCAACACAAAUCAGUAGGAAAACAAAAAAAGUGAAUAAUAAUCAUUUUAAUCUGUUGGAUUCAUCUCAAUAUAUAGUGGCCUGAGUACGUGAACAAAAUUUUGUUGAAUACUAUAUUUAAAUAUUGAUCCAAGUUUAUAAAUGCCUGUUGAUAUAAAUAUUAAAGAUAGCUGUAUACACAAUGAGUUUUAUGUAUAGAAUGCUUCAAUUAUCUCUGAAACGGCUUGUAUAAUUUUUUUAAAAUUUUAUGCGCAUCAUUUUUGAUAUAUGGUCAGAUAUUGUUGUCAGAUUUUUCGUUUUUUUAUAUUGAGAUUUCUUUAAUGUAUUGCAACAUAUAUUUUUGGAUUUGACACUUGCAUUGCAUACGAAAUUUGUGGAAAAUUAUAGAUCAGAAAGCUCUCGAAUCUAGAUAUGAGACUUUUCAAUCUAAAUAACAACAUUCCUGGACUUCCUAUAAAAUUAUACUUUAUUAUUUUGACACGAAGGAAAAUUGUUAUUAUAAUUAGUUCAUUUACAGACCACCACACACUACAUUAUAUUGCAAAAAUAUAGUGCCGUUCAACACUUCUUUAUUUUCAUUAUUCUAUACAGAGUGAGUUUUACGUAUGGAAUGCCUCAAUUAUCUCGGAAACGGCUUGUACGGUAUCUACAUUGUUGUCAGGUCUUUCCAUUUUGCGGAAAAAUAAUGCUUUUUAUUAUUUCACAUGGAUCUCCCUAUAUAUUUUGUGUUUUUAGAAAUACUGAUUAUUUUUCAUGUAAUAUUCUCUAUAAUUAAAUGUCACAAUUUCCAUUUACAGUAUCUCCACCAAAGUUACAAUAAAUAUUGUACAUUUAGAUGGCUACGAUUGACCAAACUAGUUUAAUUUGAAUAUUCUUUAAUAAUUUAUGUGCUAAUACAAAUCUCGAAACAAGGUCUUGUGUCAGUAAAUUAGUAAAAAUAUUAACGAAACUGGCGCGGUAAAAUAUUUAUCCAAAUCAUGGCGCAUAAAAUCUACAACAACUAAAGACAAAUCUUUACAUGUUUGUGUCAUGCUAGACUUAGAUCCACAUUUGUGAAGUAGUAAAAUUACGAAUUUUAGAAAAUAUACAGUCGAUUACAGCAGAUGCUCAAAAUGUCUAUUUACUUCAAUACAAAAAGCCAUGCGAUUUUCAAAACUUUUGCAAUACAUCUUGCAACAUCCCUUACUGCUCAAUUCUUCUUAUCUUUGUGAUAAUCCUAUCUUUUAAUUCCUGAAUAUUGACAGGCUUUGUUUCAUAAACGAUGUUUCUUAAGUGACCUCACAAGAAAUAGUCUAAAGGAUUCAUGUCGGGUAAUUGCGAGGCCCAUUCGAUAAAACCACGCCUUCCAACCCAUCUUCUGGGAAACACAUUAUUUAGGUAUUACUUCACCACACACGCAUAGUGAGGUGGGGCACCAUCUUGUAGCAAAAUAUUGUUGUUUGGGAUAUUGUUAUUGUCUGAAAAUUUCUUAUAAUGAAAUUUUUUUUUAAAUGUAAUUGAAAAUACUUGGAUUGAUGUAUUAAAGUAUCAGGAGCUAUUUGUGGAAUUUGGGGCUCUGUCAUUAGUGCUGUUAUGACAAAGAGAACAACAGCAAAUGAUGGAAGUAUUGAUGGUGUAGAAACUGCUGACAUGAAUUUAUACAUAAUGCUGAUUGAAGAUUUUCUGAAACAUUUGAAAAUUGAUCAGCUUUUUCUUACUCUGUCUCUGUAUGAUAACUAAUUGACUAAAUUAAAAUCUUAAACAUAUGAAUAUUGUCAUAAUAUAAGUCUUUGUUGCCAUUCUUUUCUCAUGUGCACAUUAUUCAAUUGUGUGUUUGGAUAAGUGAAAUUUUUUUUUGUAAUUUUAAUAUUGGGAGUCGAAUAGGAUUGUUAUAUGUCUUUUCUGAUCCUUUCUACUGGAUUAGUUUAGGCACAUCAUUUUUUGUCUGAGUGAAAGGAUCUGGAUUGAACCCUAUGGAACUAUGAUUUCAGUGCUGUAUAUUCAGAAUAAUUUAAAUAAGAUUUACUUAGAUGAAAGCUAUAGCAGCUAGAUCGUUCGUAUAUCUUAUCUGGUAUAUUCAAAAAAAUAUGUUCUCUCCAAUAUAUCGCGCAAAAAUUAUUGUUACUGUUAUUAACAUUUCCUUUUAUUUAACAAAUAUCAUUAAAUAUUUACUUUUUUAUAUUGACAUUAUAUUUAUUCAUUAUUAAUUUUGUCAUUGAAGGUUUUGUUAGAUUUAUGUUUAUUUUAGAGAUAGGCAAAGCGUUAUCUCCUACAAUUAACGGAAAACUGCCAUAAUAGUGUCUUAAAAAAUUAUACAUAAGAUAUAUAUCUUCAGAUAUGACCUUCCAUAAAGAACGGCGGCAGUUGUGACCAUUUGUCCAUAUUUUAUUAACCAAAGGUAGAAAGGGAAAUGUUACCAAAUAAAUCUAGGAUAUUCUAUGCAGUUUUCCUAUACAAAAAUAUGAUUUAUAACAUAUCCAACAGAAAAUCCAAUUCCAACAUUUGGUUUUCUUCUUCUAUAGUAUUUUUUCAAGCUAAUAGAGUAACUUUCUAAUACUACGUAUCAAAUGAUUCACGUCUGCAGUUUCAAAUGUGGCGCUAUCUAAUUAUUUGUCUGAUCCCAAAUAAGUUGUAUGAUACGGUGGCAGUCGUAAAACUUUAAUAGUCUAAGAACCAUUGACCAUUGAUAGAUUCCAUUAAUACUGCUUUGAUUGCAGUAUGAUUACACCCCAUCACUUUUCAUUGCGUUCCAGCUUCUUAACGGUUUGAAGUGGGAUUUUGACUUCGACAAAUAGCUUCAUGCGUAAUAUAUUUCGACUCGACACCUUGCAGGACGACUUGAACCACAGUUCGAAGUAAUCGACGAUGAUGAUGACAGGUGCCAACUUGUAAGGUACCUUUCUCCAGAAAUCUAAGGUCGCUACUUACGAGGAUAUAUUGAAAAAUUCUUAUCCUACUAUAGAACCAACAAAAUUUCAAUGUCAAAAUAGUUUAUUAAUCAACAUAUUCUCCUCUUAAUUGUAUACAUUUAUUACAGCGAACCUGCAACGUCUCUAGACCUUUAAAAAAAAUGUCUCUUCUUGAUCUGCAAACUAGACUCCCACAGCUUUUAUUAUUUCCUCGUUGGAAGAAAAUUUACGACCUUUUAAGCCUUUUUUAGUUGAGGAAAGAGAUGAUAGUCGAGCGGAGCCAAAUCUUGUGAAUAAAGGGGUGUUCUAGUAAUUCAAACCCCAAAACACGAAUUUUUUGCAUGGCAACAUUAGAUUUGUGUGUAGGGGCAUUGUCCUGCAAAAACAAAACACCUUUGGAUAGCUUAACGCGUCUUUACUCUAAUUUUUUCCCGUAGAGUGGUCAGUAAUGUCGAAUAGUAAUCUCCAGUUAUCUCCAAAAAAUCAAUCAUGAUUACUCCAUGGCAAUCCCAAAAAACUGAAGCAAGAACUUUUCCAGCAUAUUUUUGGAUAUGAAACUUCUCAGGUCUUGAAAAACCAGAGUGUCGCCAUAUUAUCGAUUGUUGCUUUGUUUCUGGAUCGUAGAAAUGUAUCCAAGUCUCAUCCAUAGUAACAAUUCUCUUUAAGAAGUCUACAUCGUUUUCAAAUUGAGCACAGAUCGAACGCGAUGCUUUUAUCCUUGCACGCUUUUGGUCAAUAUUCAAACAAUUGGGGAUCCAUUUUGCAGCAAUUUUUCUCAUUUCCAAAAUGACGUGAACUAUAUGAUGAACGCGUUCGUAUGAAAUAUUCAGUGCUUCAGCUCAGAUCCGUUUUAGCCCAAUUCGACGGUCUGAUAAAAUCAUGUCAUGAACUGCAUCGAUAUUUUCGGGGACUGACACAAAAAUUGGCUCUCUCGAAUGGUUAUCAUCUUCAAUGGAGAAUUUACCUCUUUUGAAGCUUCCAGUCCAAUUUUUCACGGUCCCAUACGAAGGACAUUGAUCACCAAGGGUAAUAAGCAUAUCUUCGUAAAUCUGCUUACCGCUUAACCCAUUUAAAUACAUGUACUUGAUGAUGGCUCGAUAAACCAAUUUUUCUAUUUCCACAAUUUCGGUGGACAUCUUUUUUCUUUUAAUUUAUUGGUUUACUUUUUUAAAUACUUUACACUGACACUUCUAAUAUAUUAUUGUUCGUUGAUAUGGUAACGCAAUAUUUUGUUUAUGUAUGGAACUGGUCUAGGCUAACUAGACAUCAAUACAUCCUCGUAUGAAUAAAUAGUAAAUUUUUCAAUUUUGUUACAUACAAUUCGUCUAUUUUAUGUUGCUCUGACUGCUUUCAAAUUAAUUUUUAAUAUGAUAUAUCUGUUUCGUUUAAAUUGAUUCUGUCUGAAAUUUUUGGUGCACCAAUCUAUUAAAGCAGUUGCUUUGGUCAGUAUUCUUGAUCAAUGAUAUUGUUUUUAUUGAUAUUUAUGUAAUUUUUAAUCCGACAACGACCUGAUCUCCAUUUUUAUGUGCUUGAUAUAAUAACUGUUCUGUUUUAGUACUUUUAAUACUUGGGUAAAUGAUAUUUUUAUCCCUAUUAUAAACAUACUAGUGUAGUCAUAAUUAUUUUUGAAAUUAUUUUAACGAAAGCUAAUAUAUUGCAGAAGAGAAAGCUAAAAACUUAUAGUAAAGUUUUCGAUAUUUAAAGUUUUAUUGCGGUUUUGAAUGAUAUUUUAUGCCAAAAGAUAUUUAAAUUAUUUAUAUAAUUAUAUCAGCCCGUGACGAUUUCAUUGUGAAGUAUGGGUAGUUAUUUCUCUAGAAACAUUCUGAAAAUAUUCAAGAAAACGAAUGGUAUCUUCUGAAUUCACUAUAUUGUGACAGUUUUUCUUUGUACCUAUGGAUAGAUUAAAAAAUUGAAUGUUAAACUGCUCAAAUGAAUGAAUCAAAUACUUAAUUACAUUAAUUAGAAAUAGAUUUAAGAUGUUGUGUUCAAGUUUUUCAAUUUGAUCCAUUCAAAAACUAUUUUCAUAGACGGUAGAAUUUAUUAUACUUAGUAUAUUUUUAAUAUUUUAAAGUUACUGAUUAAACACAAAUUUAUACGUAUUGUAAAAGUAUUUAUAUUGUUUGUUAAUAAAUUUUCAUUAUAUA